AUUGAACGCUGGCGGCAUGCUUUACACAUGCAAGUCGAACGGCAGCGCGGGCUUCGGCCUGGCGGCGAGUGGCGAACGGGUGAGUAAUGCAUCGGAACGUGCCCAGUAGUGGGGGAUAGCCCGACGAAAGCCGGAUUAAUACCGCAUACGACCUGAGGGUGAAAGCGGGGGACCGAAAGGCCUCGCGCUAUUGGAGCGGCCGAUGUCGGAUUAGCUAGUUGGUGGGGUAAAGGCUUACCAAGGCGACGAUCCGUAGCUGGUCUGAGAGGACGACCAGCCACACUGGGACUGAGACACGGCCCAGACUCCUACGGGAGGCAGCAGUGGGGAAUUUUGGACAAUGGGGGCAACCCUGAUCCAGCCAUGCCGCGUGCGGGAAGAAGGCCUUCGGGUUGUAAACCGCUUUUGUUCGGGAAGAAAUCCUCUGGGCUAAUACCCCGGGGGGAUGACGGUACCGGAAGAAUAAGCACCGGCUAACUACGUG
rnacentral:rRNA from 1 species